AGAAGCGAAGCCGCGAGGCAGAGCAAAUCUGAAAAAAGACAUCCCUAGUUCAGAUUGUAGGCUGCAACUCGCCUACAUGAAGCUGGAAUCGCUAGUAAUCGCGGAUCAGAAUGCCGCGGUGAAUACGUUCCCGGGUCUUGUACACACCGCCCGUCACACCAUGGGAGUCGGUAACGCCCGAAGUCAGUGACCCAACCGAGAGGAGGGAGCUGCCGAAGGCGGGACUGGUAACUGGGGUGAAGUCGUAACAAGGUAGC
rnacentral:rRNA from 1 species